AGCGAACGCUGGCGGCAGGCUUAACACAUGCAAGUCGAGCGGGCGUAGCAAUACGUCAGCGGCAGACGGGUGAGUAACGCGUGGGAACAUACCUUUUGGUUCGGAACAACACAGGGAAACUUGUGCUAAUACCGGAUAAGCCCUUACGGGGAAAGAUUUAUCGCCGAAAGAUUGGCCCGCGUCUGAUUAGCUAGUUGGUGAGGUAACGGCUCACCAAGGCGACGAUCAGUAGCUGGUCUGAGAGGAUGAUCAGCCACAUUGGGACUGAGACACGGCCCAAACUCCUACGGGAGGCAGCAGUGGGGAAUAUUGGACAAUGGGCGCAAGCCUGAUCCAGCCAUGCCGCGUGAGUGAUGAAGGCCCUAGGGUUGUAAAGCUCUUUUGUGCGGGAAGAUAAUGACG
rnacentral:rRNA from 2 species